GGUUAAUUUAUUUGGAAAAGCAGUAAAAUCAUCCUUCCUAGUCUUGGGCCGAAUUCACCCCAUUCCCUCCCUUCCUCUCAGCCGGCAGAAAAGUCUAGUUUACCUCCCUUGCGCUACAGUGCUCCUUCCAGCUCUGGACAGAGCCAGAGCCAGAGCCGAGCCGUGCCGUGCCUGUUGCCGCCGAUCCCCUUCCAAAAUCCAACCUCUCCGUUGCUCUUAUUUCCGAAUUGGUUGCGGGAAUGGAAUCCUCUCAAUCUCCUCUUCCUUGUCCCCAAGAAAUCCCCAAAAGUUUAUAUGGAAAUCCUUUCCAAUUUCGCGGUUCAACCUUUCCUUUUUCCGGCGAAGAUCUAAACGUUCCCGAGUUUUUCCCGUCGUUGUGGGCUCGAUCCCGGCCUCCCAUGCUAUAUAAAGGACCCCCUAGUCGUCCUCUACUCAUCCCCUCAAGUCCCGUCUUCCGCCGUCGCCAGAAACGCUCUCCCCACGCUCUCCCUCUCUCUCCACCUCUGGCCGCCGCUCCAGCCGCCAUUCGCCGUCGCCCCGGCCGUGGCCGGUCAGCUCCGCCACCUCCCUCGGCUUCGCAGUGAAGAGCUCUACCCCGGCCACCCGUUCUUUUGCGCCGAACCCCGCCGGAAGUCGCCGUCACCGUGAAGGCCGAACCGUUGCCAUGUUUUUAUCUCCUGCGAAGUUUUGCCGUCGACUCCGUGGUCGCCGGACCUCGCCGUAUCCACUGUCGGCAUCGCAGCGGUGAGGAGAAACCCGGCAGCCACCUCCGCGAAGACGCAAGCCAUCGGAGCACCGUCGUCACCGUGAAGCUGAUCUGUUCCAUCUUCAGUCGCGUCGUUCGUCUUCGUCCGUCGUCGCCCUCUGUCGCCGUCGAGUCCAUUGGGUUCGCAGGAGCAAGGUGAAGCCCGGCCAUCGGUUUUUCUUCGCCGAAGAUCGCUGAAACGUCGCCGCCAUCGCUGACCCGACCCCGUCGCCGCCUCUACCUCGCUGCCGGCCGUCUGCCGUCAUCUUCCAUCGUCGCGCCACCCCUCAUACCUCGCCGCCCUUCGAAGCUCGUCGUCGGCCAUCUUCCGUAGCUGUCCGUCGUUGGAAAGUGUUGCUUGUCGUUUCCGUCGUUUUGAAGGUUCGUGAGUGCGCCGGAAGUACUCAAGAAGACUA